GCGAAGCCCCUUCUCCUUCCAACAACUGAUGCUUCCCAAUGAGUCUCCUCCUCCGUAGUGUCUCACCUUACCUCCCUUGAUAUUCCCGCAGCUUGGACAGAGUUCUUUUGAGUCUAGACAACCGACCAGUUCACCUGGUUCAUCGGAGCUUUUGUAGCUCUCAUCUCUCCUUUAUGGAGCCUUUUAUCCUCCCACAUAUUUCACUUGUGUUUAGUGGUAGUGUUACAAGGAGCAUUAUGUUAAUUGUUCUGCUUGAAGUAGAAGCGGGGAUUGUUGUUCAAGACUGUUCUCGUUCAGAAUUUGCUGACUGUUUGACGUUAGCAUCAUUUGAGACUUUGCUUCAUCCUCCUUGUGGUUUCAGCAAGGACUUCCAAGCUAAAGAGUUUUGCUUUAUUGGAUCCUCUUGGUUUGAUGCCUCUUUGGCUGAAGUUCAGUUUCUCUUCCCAAAAUUUCCUCUUGCUUGGUGGGGUUUGGAUGCUCAUGAAUUGUCGGUAUUGCAAGUUUCCUCCUUCCGGCUGAUGGUCCUGCUACCUAUGUCAUAGAGUUUGUAAAUCUUUGGGUUAUUGUGGAUGCGAUCUAUGAAGAAACUGUUGAGAUUGUACUUGUUUGUUGGUCUCUUAUGUUCUCUUCUUAUGAUUUUUACAAUCUUAACUAACAAAAAUAUUCAUAACUAUUAAUUCAGUUAUAAUAUUCAAAAUGAGAGUGAAAGAAGCAAAAUCAUUGUCUAUAAUU